GAGUCGGUAGCAAUCGGUUAGGCACGCGCGCCUGGACAGCGUGAAAUGCGGGUUCGAGUCCCGCCUGAUGCA